rnacentral:rRNA from 1 species
UACGUAGGGACCAAGCGUUGUUCGGAUUUACUGGGCGUAAAGGGCGCGUAGGCGGCAAUUCAAGUCAGCUGUGAAAUCUCCGGGCUUAACUCGGAAAGGUCAACUGAUACUGUGCGACUAGAGUGCAGAAGGGGGCAACUGGAAUUCUCGGUGUAGCGGUGAAAUGCGUAGAUAUCGAGAGGAACACCUGCGGCGAAGGCGGGGUCUCUGGGGCAGUAAACUGACGCUGAGGAGCGAAAGCGUGGGGGAGCGAACAGG